rnacentral:tRNA from 1 species
GGGGAUGUAGCUCAGUGGUAGAGCACGUAUGUAGCAUGUGGGAGAGCCUGGUUCAAUCCCAGCGCCACCA